CAUAAUCUCUGAGGAGAAAAGCAGGGGAUCGCAAGACCUUGCGCUUUUGGAGCGGCCGAUGCCUGAUUAGCUUGUUGGUGAGGUAAAAGCUCACCAAGGCUUCGAUCAGUAGCUGGUCUGAGAGGACGACCAGCCACACUGGGACUGAGACACGGCCCAGACUCCUACGGGAGGCAGCAGUGGGGAAUUUUGGACAAUGGGGGCAACCCUGAUCCAGCCAUGCCGCGUGAGUGAAGAAGGCCUUCGGGUUGUAAAGCUCUUUCAGCCGGAACGAAACGGUCACGGUUAAUACCCGUGACUACUGACGGUACCGGAAGGAGAAG
rnacentral:rRNA from 1 species